rnacentral:rRNA from 1 species
UACAGAGACUGCAAGCGUUAUUCGGAUUCACUGGGCGUAAAGGGUGCGCAGGUGGCCAAGUGGGUUAGGCGUGAAAGCCCGGGGCUUAACCCCGGAAUUGCACCUAAAACUACAUGGCUAGAGCAUUGGAGAGGGGAGCAGAAUUCACGGUGUAGCAGUGAAAUGCGUAGAUAUCAUGAGGAAUACCAGAGGCGAAGGCGGCUCCCUGGACAAUUGCUGACACUCAGGCACGAAAGCGUGGGGAGCAAAAGGG